UACGUAGGGGGCAAGGCGUUGUCCGGAAUCAUUGGGCGUAAAGAGCGUGUAGGCGGCCCGGUCAGUCCGCCGUGAAAGUCCAGGGCUCAACCCUGGAAUGCCGGUGGAUACUGCCGGGCUGGAGUCCGGAAGAGGCGAGUGGAAUUCCUGGUGUAGCGGUGAAAUGCGCAGAUAUCAGGAGGAACACCGAUGGCGAAGGCAGCUCGCUGGGACGGUACUGACGCUGAGACGCGAAAGCGUGGGGAGCGAACAGG
rnacentral:rRNA from 1 species